AAUGCUCAAAAUUCUCCAAGGUAGGCUUCACAGUAUGUUAACCGAGAACUUCCAGAUGUACAAGCUGGGUUUAGGAAAGGCAGAGGAACCGGAGAUCAAAUUGUAAACCUCAUUGGAUCAUAGAGUAAGCAAGGGAAUGCCAGAAAAAAACAACAACAACAUCUGCUUCUCCUUCAUUGAUCACACUGAAGCCUUUGACUGUGUGGAUCACAACAAACUGUAGAAAAUUCUAAAAGGGAUGGGAGUAUCAGACUACCUUACCUGUCUUCGAGAAAUCUGCAUGCAGUUCAAGAAACUGUUAGAACCAGACCUGGAACAACUGACUGGUUCAAAAUUGGGAAAGGAGUACAUCAAGGCCAUAUAUUGUCACCUAGUUUAUUUAACUUAUAUGCAGAGUACAUCAUGUGAAAUGCUGGGCUGGAUGAAGCAUGAGCU